rnacentral:rRNA from 1 species
UGUUCUUUAAACCUAAAGAAUUUGGCGGUAUUUUAGUCUUUUCAGAGGAAUUUGUCCCUUAAUCGAUAAUCCCCGUUUUAUCUUGCUUUAAUUUUAUAUCAGCAUGUAUAUCGCCGUUAUAAGUUUAUUUUUUUAGAAUUUUAAUUUACUUUAAAUUUUAUUUUAUGAUAUUUCAGGUCAAGGUGCAGUUAAUGUUUAAGUGGAGAUGAAUUACAAUAUUAUAUAAGUAAAUGGAUUUUUUGUUUAAAAUGUUAAUGAAAGUGGAUUUGAUAGUAAUUUUAUUUAUAUAGUUAUUAUGAUUUUGGCUCUAAAAUAAGUACACAUCGCCCGGUCGCUCUA